CCGGAGGAAGAGAAAGAAAAUUCGAUUCCCUUAGUAGCGGCGAGCGAAACGGGAAGAGCCCAAACCAACAAGCUUGCUUGUUGGGGUUGUAGGACACUCUAUACGGAGUUACAAAGGACGACAUUAGACGAAUCAUCUGGAAAGAUGAAUCAAAGAAGGUAAUAAUCCUGUAGUCGAAAAUGUUGUCUCUCUUGAGUGGAUCCUGAGUACGACGGAGCACGUGAAAUUCCGUCGGAAUCUGGGAGGACCAUCUCCUAAGGCUAAAUACUCUCUAGUGACCGAUAGUGAACCAGUACCGUGAGGGAAAGGUGAAAAGCACCCCGGAAGGGGAGUGAAAUAGAACCUGAAACCGUGUGCUUACAAGUAGUCAGAGCCCGUUAAUGGGUGAUGGCGUGCCUUUUGUAGAAUGAACCGGCGAGUUACGAUUUGAUGCAAGGUUAAGCAGUAAAUGUGGAGCCGUAGCGAAAGCGAGUCUGAAUAGGGCGUUUAGUAUUUGGUCGUAGACCCGAAACCAGGUGAUCUACCCUUGGUCAGGUUGAAGUUCAGGUAACACUGAAUGGAGGACCGAACCGACUUACGUUGAAAAGUGAGCGGAUGAACUGAGGGUAGCGGAGAAAUUCCAAUCGAACCUGGAGAUAGCUGGUUCUCUCCGAAAUAGCUUUAGGGCUAGCCUCAAGUGAUGAUUAUUGGAGGUAGAGCACUGUUUGGACGAGGGGCCCCUCUCGGGUUACCGAAUUCAGACAAACUCCGAAUGCCAAUUAAUUUAACUUGGGAGUCAGAACAUGGGUGAUAAGGUCCGUGUUCGAAAGGGAAACAGCCCAGACCACCAGCUAAGGUCCCAAAAUAUAUGUUAAGUGGAAAAGGAUGUGGCGUUGCCCAGACAACUAGGAUGUUGGCUUAGAAGCAGCCAUCAUUUAAAGAGUGCGUAAUAGCUCACUAGUCGAGUGACACUGCGCCGAAAAUGUACCGGGGCUAAACAUAUUACCGAAGCUGUGGAUUGUCCUUUGGACAAUGGUAGGAGAGCGUUCUAAGGGCGUUGAAGCAUGAUCGUAAGGACAUGUGGAGCGCUUAGAAGUGAGAAUGCCGGUGUGAGUAGCGAAAGACGGGUGAGAAUCCCGUCCACCGAUUGACUAAGGUUUCCAGAGGAAGGCUCGUCCGCUCUGGGUUAGUCGGGUCCUAAGCUGAGGCCGACAGGCGUAGGCGAUGGAUAACAGGUUGAUAUUCCUGUACCACCUAUAAUCGUUUUAAUCGAUGGGGGGACGCAGUAGGAUAGGCGAAGCGUGCGAUUGGAUUGCACGUCUAAGCAGUAAGGCUGAGUAUUAGGCAAAUCCGGUACUCGUUAAGGCUGAGCUGUGAUGGGGAGAAGACAUUGUGUCUUCGAGUCGUUGAUUUCACACUGCCGAGAAAAGCCUCUAGAUAGAAAAUAGGUGCCCGUACCGCAAACCGACACAGGUAGUCAAGAUGAGAAUUCUAAGGUGAGCGAGCGAACUCUCGUUAAGGAACUCGGCAAAAUGACCCCGUAACUUCGGGAGAAGGGGUGCUCUUUAGGGUUAACGCCCAGAAGAGCCGCAGUGAAUAGGCCCAAGCGACUGUUUAUCAAAAACACAGGUCUCUGCUAAACCGUAAGGUGAUGUAUAGGGGCUGACGCCUGCCCGGUGCUGGAAGGUUAAGAGGAGUGGUUAGCUUCUGCGAAGCUACGAAUCGAAGCCCCAGUAAACGGCGGCCGUAACUAUAACGGUCCUAAGGUAGCGAAAUUCCUUGUCGGGUAAGUUCCGACCCGCACGAAAGGCGUAACGAUUUGGGCACUGUCUCAACGAGAGACUCGGUGAAAUCAUAGUACCUGUGAAGAUGCAGGUUACCCGCGACAGGACGGAAAGACCCCGUGGAGCUUUACUGUAGCCUGAUAUUGAAAUUCGGCACAGCUUGUACAGGAUAGGUAGGAGCCUUUGAAACGUGAGCGCUAGCUUACGUGGAGGCGCUGGUGGGAUACUACCCUAGCUGUGUUGGCUUUCUAACCCGCACCACUUAUCGUGGUGGGAGACAGUGUCAGGCGGGCAGUUUGACUGGGGCGGUCGCCUCCUAAAAGGUAACGGAGGCGCUCAAAGGUUCCCUCAGAAUGGUUGGAAAUCAUUCAUAGAGUGUAAAGGCAUAAGGGAGCUUGACUGCGAGACCUACAAGUCGAGCAGGGUCGAAAGACGGACUUAGUGAUCCGGUGGUUCCGCAUGGAAGGGCCAUCGCUCAACGGAUAAAAGCUACCCCGGGGAUAACAGGCUUAUCUCCCCCAAGAGUUCACAUCGACGGGGAGGUUUGGCACCUCGAUGUCGGCUCAUCGCAUCCUGGGGCUGUAGUCGGUCCCAAGGGUUGGGCUGUUCGCCCAUUAAAGCGGUACGCGAGCUGGGUUCAGAACGUCGUGAGACAGUUCGGUCCCUAUCCGUCGUGGGCGUAGGAAAUUUGAGAGGAGCUGUCCUUAGUACGAGAGGACCGGGAUGGACAUACCUCUGGUGUACCAGUUGUCGUGCCAACGGCAUAGCUGGGUAGCUAUGUGUGGACGGGAUAAGUGCUGAAAGCAUCUAAGCAUGAAGCCCCCCUCAAGAUGAGAUUUCCCAACUUCGGUUAUAAGAUCCCUCAAAGAUGAUGAGGUUAAUAGGUUCGAGGUGGAAGCAUGGUGACAUGUGGAGCUGACGAAUACUAAUCGAUCGAAGACUUAAUCAAAUU
rnacentral:rRNA from 1 species